CCUGCCAUGUGUGGAUGGUUUUUAGACUAGUUCUUAAAUUCCUUUUCUGCUGUGACAGCUUGUGUGAAUAUGGAUUCUCAUUAUGCAAACUUUUAAAAAGAACCCUUUCGUUUUUCAAACAAACUUCUUCACCAGUUUGUUUUGGAUCAAAUAAAUAGGAGUAAAAUGUUGUCAGGUUUUAUUGGCUGGAUUUAACUUUUAAAUAUUACUUAAAACAUUUCUAUCAUGGGCUAUCAUGCUGAAUAAUAGAGCUUCUUGUUUUAGGAUGAAAUGAAUCUGUAUGGGGGAAUGUUUUUUUCUAGAAAGCAAAUUCUUCCAAAAUUGGAUGGAGAACAUUUUUCAUCCAUAUAGCACCAAGCCUAUCUGAUUUUCUUCCCCCCCCCCCCCGGGCCCUCAUUGGCAGCAAAUAGAUUUCUUGUGGGGUAUGAAAACCUGCUUUCAUUUUAUUUGGAUUGAUGAGAGCUUACAGGGAAAGAAAGUAUAUAUGGGUUUUGAUUAAUAUCGUGAGUGCUUGUCCUCUCCUUUACGUCCUAUUCAUUUAACUUGCUAAUAAAAAAGUUAGAAACUCCCUUCUACUAUACAUGAUGCUUUACUCUGUAUUUUCUUCCCUUUUAGCUUGAGAAAUUGCCCGACAGCACCGAAGAGCUAGCAGCAACUGAGGGGGAAACAUCAGGAAACAAAGACAUGCAGGUGAUACAGUACAGGGGAAAUCCUUUGCUUUCGUUUCUCGAAGAGUUGCCUUCAAUUGAAAGUUCAGGGAAGAUGGAGGAUCCUAAAGAUCUCCUCCUGACCCCGUUGGAGGAGAAACCUGUGAUCUCUCUUUCCUCAAGUAGUGAAAUAGCCUCCUCAGUGGCAGCUCCAGUGAACCAAGCCGAGCCUCCAGAUAUACUGGGAAUGGGUGACCAGCCCUUGCUCUCAGAAGAUGCGAAUGGGGAGUAUAAACUGUUCCCACUCUUACUCCUCAGUCCUGUUGCUAACUUUAUAGAAGAGGCCUCAGAGAUAGAAACUACUUGAACUUGGAAAAACCUUCCUAAACUCAGCUUCCUGCUAUAAAAUGUGCAGAAAUGAUACAAGAAUCAGCGACAAGCUUUGUCACCCUCUUCUACUCCCCCCUCCCACCAUUCUCCUGGGCCUAGUAGUCUACAAAAACAUUGGAAGGACUUUAUUCCUGCAAUCCAGGAAGAAAGAUAAAAGCAAGUUUAAGACAAGAGCUACACAGCACUGAAGGUACCAGAGGGAGAUGAUCAAACUCCAUAUAAAUACAACUUUUUUUAUACAAUGAUUUCAUUGCAAGAGAGGAUCUGUUUGUAUUCCAUUGUAAAGAUUAGCAGUUUUUAGCUGGCCAGUAACAGUAUGGAGUAUUGUAACCUGGCCUGUACUAUUUUGAGAGCCUGUUUCAUUAGGGGACUUGUCUACUAAGCCGGGAGAUGCUUCUUUUAUUAAGUCUGUGGGUUGGAUGAUUUGCAUCUGUGUAGGGCACUUUUUCCUACUCCUAGAUUUGCUCCUGGGCUUUUUAAUAUAGACAACACUUUUUUUUCCUAUGGAAAAUAGUAUUUUUUAACAUGGUGUAUUACUUUAGGGCAUGCUGGUGGCUCUUCAUUGCUACAGUUAUAAGUGUUUUGUUGGUUCUGCACUUUACCUAAAGCUUAUUUCUCAUGCACAUUGCAUGAAGAGUUUUCUGGCAUAACUUGCAUAUAAGUGACCUGCAUGUAUGUUCUCCUUAAGCAAGGAUUUUACCAGUCUGGGAGACACUGGGCAAAGUCCAGCAGCUGUCCUUGCUUUGCAAAAAGCACGCUUUUUGCAAGACACGUGUUUUUUAUGCCCCUCGCAGCUCACUUGGACAAACCAGAAAAGGCUGCACGAUGUUGAUCUUUGUAAUCAUAGAACAUCUCCUCAAUGCUCCUCUCUUCUACUCGCAGUAUCCUCUUGUUCACAUGGUGCUCUGAAACAUUGGGCCCAAUUUUGCCUUAGCCAAAGAACUCCCUGUGGUGAAACUGGCAAAUUCUUGGAACCACUUCCUGCUCCAUUAUUUAAAAAAGAAAAAAAAAGCUUAUCCUAUAAAAUUGCUUCCAUCUGAGCACAAAAACAGCAUUUCUGUACUACGUGGCAAGUUAUUGUCCCUAAACAACUCUGGAAAGUUAGUGUUUAUUAGUGCCAUAACAUGUUAGGACUGGAUUUGAUGCACAGUCCUGUAGUUAGGCUUGUAAUAUCCUGCACUUGAAGCUUGUGAUGCAGAGUAAUGGUGAAUUCAUUGCAGGAGCUGAGCAAAGACUUACUUCUGUAAUAUUACAGAAUUACCAAUUUCACCCACAGGAUUGCUAUGAAAUAUUCUUAUUUCUUCUUAAACUGUCAAGAACCCAGGUCACCUUAAUUGAAACAUGGAAUGGCUAGCAAGACUAACUUGACUAGUUGCAAAAUGAAUCUAUCUUGAACAAUGCAAGUUACAUGUUGGGUGUGUGGGAACCUUGUUUAUGUUGGUUUUGUUGCUGAGUCUUUGAGUUAACAAGAGCAGUGUUCCUAGUGUGUGUUGUGCAUGUGCAUACCCUCACUGUUGCUAAGUUAAUUAUUUCAGUACUUUUGUAACUUGUCCUUUACUUAUAUUCUUUUUCAUGUUUUAUAUUUUUAAUUGCUGUCUCUUUAAAUAUGCAGUGUCCCAGGCAGGUUUGUUGUUUAAGGGAGAGUGAAAUGGUCUACAGCCUUGAACUUUAGAAGCAGGUGGGUGGGCGUAGGAGUAUGUGCAUGUUGUAGCUUCGUGCUUUUUUUUUUUGCAAUACAUUAAUUUGGUCUGCAGGAGCAAUGCAGCAUAAACCGGAUUCUUCUGGUGCUGUUUCAAACCAAUUCCAAAUGACGUAGAUCAGGAAGUGUCUGGUCUUGUAUCAUUUCUGAUCUAAGCAAGGUUGAUUUAAAUAUCUGCACUUUCUGCUACUGUCUUUAUUUUUUAUUUUUUCCCCUUUUUUGGUGAGGUGCUGUUUUCUUUCACUUUUUUUCUGGACUCAUUAGCUGAACCUAGCCUCUUUCCACAUCACUGCAAACAAUUUCUUUUGUCUUGUGUAGAUUUCUUCCACAUCCCCCUUCCCCCCUUUUUAAGAACAUGGUUAACAAACUAGAACACCUAUUUUAAAAAGGAAAUGGAAACUGCUGAUGAUGUUUUGUUCAUGAUCAUGUUUUGGAAAUGUAUAUGCUUAUGCAAGCUUCCUGACAACAGCAUAUUCUGGAUGGGAGGUUGGGUAAUGAGGAGGAACACACAUUGAAGUAAUUAAAUUCCAGGAUUGUAAAAUCA